AUUCCGUGAUGAGGGCACUUUCUUAAUAACUCUUUGAAUCUUUCCCAUGCCUCAUACAAGGACUUAUCAUCCAUUUGUUGGAAAGAAGUAAUCUCAUUUCUCAGCUU
rfam:Gossypium hirsutum cultivar TM-1 chromosome 1, whole genome shotgun sequence